CACCCAUCAAGUGUACCUUACUAAGGUUGUGCGGACAACCUUGACUCUGGGUGCUCCUGAUGCUUCGUACAGUGAACGGAAGUCCUCAACCAGGAAAUUGUUACCCCAACCCAGUCACUGCACUACUGGCAAUGAACUUCCAAGGACGCUGCUAAUUAGGGACCGUCAAUCAUUCAAGAAGCUGGUGGUAUACUCACGAAAACGAUUCAACAGUAGGGACAAAUCUAGAAACUUGAAUGAAGAACGGAGUGGGCCAAACGCUUCUGGGACGUGCGGGAUUGAUACUGAUGAAAAUGCAGUGCCCACGGCGCGAGAGGUCAGCCUGGCAGUUACUACUGAAGAUAGUCAGUCAGCUUUACAGGAGACCCAAACAAACAGUU
rnacentral:misc_RNA from 1 species